rnacentral:rRNA from 1 species
UACGAAGGGUGCAAACGUUGCUCGGAAUUAUUGGGCGUAAAGCGCACGUAGGCGGCUUUGCAAGUCGGAUGUGAAAUCCCUCGGCUUAACCAAGGAAGUGCAUCCGAAACUGCAGAGCUUGAGUACUUAAGAGGAUCGCGGAAUUCCCGGUGUAGAGGUGAAAUUCGUAGAUAUCGGGAGGAACACCAGUGGCGAAGGCGGCGAUCUGGGAAGAUACUGACGCUGAGGUGCGAAAGCUAGGGGAGCGAACAGG